rnacentral:rRNA from 1 species
CCUACGGGAGGCAGCAGUGGGGGAUAUUGCACAAUGGGGGGAACCCUGAUGCAGCGAUGCCGCGUGGGUGAAGGAGUGCUUCGGCAUGUAAAGCCCUAUCGGCAGGGAAGAAGCAAGACGGUACCUUACUAAGAAGCCCCUGCUAACUACGUGCCAGAAGCCGCGGUAAUACGUAGGGGGCGAGCGUUAUCCGGAGUCACUGGGUGUAAAGGGAGCGUAGACGGGCAUGCAAGCCAGGGGUGAAAGCUCGGGGCCCAACCCCGGGACUGCCGUUGGAACUGUGCGGCCAGAGUGCGGGAGAGGCAGGCGGAAUGCGUGGUGUAGCGGUGAAAUGCGUAGAUAUCGGGAGGAACACCGGCGGCGAAGGCGGCCUGCUGGACUGCGACUGACGUUGAGGCUCGAAAGCGUGGGGAGCGAACAGGAUUAGAUACCCCAGUAGUC